rnacentral:lncRNA from 1 species
AAUAUAUAAUAGACGUUCCAUAUUAAUUCAUAAUAUUAGUUCUGAAUUUAGCUUUUCCUAUAUUUAAUCAUGGCCUUAUAAUCUUUUGCAAUCUUAAAAACGGUUUUGCAAAUCAGAGAAUAUAAUAUAAAUCUAUAAUUUAUGCAUAAUUAAGAUGGUAAGGAAUUUAAAAUACAUAUUUAAUCAAUAUUUAUGUUGAUUGAAUAAAAAAUUGUAAGAUGGUAAGCAAACCAGGACUGGCCAUUUUCAACUCCCCGCUUCUAACAUCUUGCCACGCUCAGUGCAUGAUCCAAAGGCAAGUGCACAACACCUCCACAACCACGUUCAUCAGAGUAAGUACAAUUCAGACUGUACGAUUCAGUGAAGACACACGACUUGGAUAAUUGAUACAAAAUUUGUGGACCUCUUUGUACUUCAGGUAUUCGCAAUGAUGCUUCAAGGACAAUAAGCCUAAUUCAUAAUCACAGCAUUGACAGUACUUCAAAAGGGAAAGCGCAUAAUGGCGUUGAUUCGAGGUCUCAAAGUGGUAAGGAUGACGAUGUAACAGUGAUUGUUCCCGAGCCAGGACAGCUAGGUGUGAAAACUCCAGGUUUCUUAGAAAAUCUUCUCAUUAUGUUUAUGUAUUCCACCCUAUAAUUGGACAGCCUGUCACUGAGACAGUCUAAUAUAUACCUUAAAUAUGUGCAGAAUGGUUUCAGAGUGACUCACAACGUGGAGUCAGGAAUCUGAUGGAGUCCUUCAACUCAGCAUGUACAACCGAAGCCGGAACAUCAGCCACACGAGGAGCUCCACCUAUGACUGGCAACAAUUCAUCACAAACAGAAGAAGGUUCCCCGCAUUUCUACAAAUUAAACAAUCAGAUAAAAUCAGAACUAUACCUGGAGUUGUUGGAGUAUUUUCUUUAUCUGCUUGGGUUGGAUAGUUCAGUAAACCUUUUUUGAAAAGAGUGGAUACAUUCGGCCCACGGUGCCUGGGAACCGAACAUGAUUUCCCUUUUUCUGAAAAGUGUAAAUUGAAACCUUAAUAUUAGAUCUGCAUUGCAAUGCAAGGUCCACCCCAAUUCACAUACCACAUGUGCAGGUACUACUGGUAAACUACUCUUUAGAAAAUUUUAAUAAAAGAUUUAGUCUAUUCCUGUUUGAUAGUUAUUCCAAUACAGAGAAUGUUAAAACAGGCUUUCAUCUCUUCGUACCUCAUCCAAGAAACUGUCAAAAGGAUCUCCUGAUUUUAUUGCCGAGAUUGUGCCAAAGAGAAAUCAUUCUGUGCCGGGUUAGUAACUGAUAUGUGAAUGCCUUUGUAAACAAAUAUUUAUGAUUGUCGUUUAUGAAACCCAUUUUUUGGCGUCUUACAGGUAGCGUGUUAAUUGAUCUUCCCCCUCAAAGCAGUAUUAGGAGUUUCCAUAUUUCUAUUGGAUAAUCACAUGGUAAAUUCUAUCAUUUUUUUUAAUUGUAUUGCUUUUGGUGAUAAAUGGACAAGCCCGGCACAGAGUUGUACAGUGGUAUCCCAUUUCCUUCUAUGUUCUUUGAGCGUGAACGUGUUUUUACUUUAUUUUUUCUUUACCUUUCCAGAUUGUUGCAAUGGUAGCUUUCCUCGGGUUGCCACCUCUAUUCUCGGUCAAUCGACAAGAUAUGCAUCCGUUCCCGGUUGUAUUGUGAUCUUCCAAUUAGGUAUGUACUUAGAGCGGUAUUCUUUUCUGUAUUAAUUAAAUCGAAUGAUUUUCUUGCUUACCAUUUCAAUAUGAUUUUGUCAUUGUCUUACAUAUAGUUCGAGAGUUGGGACCGCAAUAUAAUUUUCUGCUCAGGUUUCUCAGACAUAAUAGAAAUAUCGAUACUAUAUCAUCAUCCUCGGCUAGGAAAAAAAAAUAAUGAAGCAAAAAGUUUAUGUGUGAAGUUUCAAAAAUUAUGUUAAAAACAUUAGCAAAACACUAAAAUGUAGAAAUUAUUUUAGCGAAGACUAUGUGUAAAGAAAUAUAUUUGAAAUUAUUACCCUUCCAUAUUUUAGUUAUUUCAAAAAUUUAGAUAGAAGUGACUAAUAAAAUCUUAUUCUUGCAUUCAAAUUUAAUUUAGAUGAAUUGGCUUAAAUAAUUGAUACAAUUAAUAUUCUACUUAAAACUACUUAAGGUUUCAUAUGAAGAACCUAUCUAUUUCGGAAUUCACAAUUUCUUCCAAAAAUUGAUUAGUGAUUAAUUUUUCUUUUAUAUUAUAUAGGCACUAUGAAAAAUGAUUUGUUGGAGGAAACAAUUAUUAAAAAUAUAUAAUAGACGUUCCAUAUUAAUUCAUAAUAUUAGUUCUGAAUUUAGCUUUUCCUAUAUUUAAUCAUGGCCUUAUAAUCUUUUGCAAUCUUAAAAACGGUUUUGCAAAUCAGAGAAUAUAAUAUAAAUCUAUAAUUUAUGCAUAAUUAAGAUGGUAAGGAAUUUAAAAUACAUAUUUAAUCAAUAUUUAUGUUGAUUGAAUAAAAAAUUGUAAGAUGGUAAGCAAACCAGGACUGGCCGUUUUCAACUCCCCGCUUCUAACAUCUUGCCACGCUCAGUGCAUGAUCCAAAGGCAAGUGCACAGCACCUCCGCAACCACGUUCAUCAGAGUA